rnacentral:lncRNA from 1 species
UCCACCUUUGACAAGCAAUCAUUUCUUGGAAACCCUCUCCUGUCUUUCCAUUUCACUGACCAUGGGCCCCGUUUGGAAUCAAACAAUGAUGAGCUCUCAACAGAAGGUACAGAAAAGGAUCCUGCUAAAGAAGAGACAAUUGUGCUCAUAAUUUCAUUUAUUGUUUUUUUCUUUGCCACAAUUGCUAUAAGAGAACAUGACAGUUUCAUGUAUGUGUACUAUACCAUGAAAUGCAGAUGUGCAAGUACGAAGAUUUAUGCAGAAUUGUAACCCUUGAGCUUUGUAACGUUCAGUUAACAAACUAGAAGGAUAGUGUCUCUGGCAAUGUGGUUCAUAUAUUGAUGUGUUACAUAUCCGGCCACAUAGCAUUACAGAACUUUAAAUUAUGUUCAUCUCAUUUCUGUUCCAGGGGAUUCACUGUAAUUGGAAAAACAGAACUAUAUAGAACUAUUCAAAGGCUAUACCAUGACAUCUCAAAAACUAGCCUGUAAUUAUUGUCAUGGUAAGCUUGACGUUUUGGAGCAUUGAAAAGAAAACGGGAGUUUAUUUGGUAUGUUUGUAACAUGUAUCUUUCCAUUAAAAAUCAGAAUUGGGUGAUACCAAUGUGCUAACCGGCUUGUCGACUUGAUUUGUGUGAGAGUUUGUAUAGCCUUUUGUGUUGUACACAUACUGUAUAUGUUGUAUUCUUAUUGGCUACAUGCAUGUAUGAAAGGUCAUCCCUCCAAGGUUGUGUGAUGUCUGCCUUACCACUCGCUAUCUCUCUACAUGGUAUCAUGAGAAAAGAUCCAAACCGGUCCUCCUUAUGCUACCUCUUUACCUACCUGCAAACCAGUGUCAGAGCUAGUGAAUCUUCAUGCCUAAGGGCACUACCUAAGCGCAAAAACAGAAAAAAAAAAACCAAUAGUACCUAAUAAAGAGAAGGAUGGAAUGCAUAAUUUAGUAAUCUAACUGGACGUGUCAGCAAUGCAAUAAAAUGCAAUAUGCAGAAUGAGCUAUGCAAUAUGUGAAGCCCAGGAUCAGCAACAAAUAUCUCAUCAAUAAGAACAACGCAAGGCUCGUUUUGCACAUUAGGACCAGCUCCUGUUUCUACUGAUCCCGGCUGCACAACAUUUGCUUUGUUAACUUGCUGUCUGUUGUUCAUGCUAAUUCUGGUGCUUCCAUUAUUAUUAUUAUUACUUCUGAUUGCACUUGUACAGAUUCAGAAGGUUGGCUUAGGUUGAAUAACAGGCGUAGUUGCUAUAAAAUUCAGACUAAAACACAAAUAAAACAAACCUGCUAGCUGGUACAGUAGCCACAAACAAUUGAACAAUUGCUACAAAACCAAGUUGGAACAAACAACCCUGUUGCGCUGUGUGCAACAUGUGCGGCGUGCCCCUUUAAUUUGUUGCAGGUAGCAGUGGCACAAGAGCGACUACGACUUGCCGCCUGUUCUCUUCUCCCCCCACGGCGAACCGACGCCGCCUGCGCGCCUCCCUCCUCUAUGCGGCCUCGCGCGCGGCGCGCCUUUAGUCCGCUGGAGCCUGCGUGGCUAGCCGGCGCCGCCCCCUCUCCUGGAUGUGGCCGUGCCGCCGCCUGAGCCGGGAUGUGACCGCGCCCUCAUCCGAUUUGGCGGCUUGUGGCGUUUGCUUCGAUGUUGUGUACGACGCAGUGCGAGCGAGAGGAAGAGGACGACGGCGACACGCUCUGCGACUUGCCGACUUCGCCAGGCUUCUUGCUGGGCUGGGCUGGGCUGCCGACGGGAUGGAGAAUUGUUGGGCUACGUGGACUGGGC